AAGAGUUUUUGUGAUUUAUUUGUUGCGUGAGUAAGGAUUUUUUAUGGUUUAACCAACAAUAUUUUGAAUGACGCCUGUUUCUGUUGUGAGCGACUUCUUGUAAUACGUUCGAAUAGUAAUAUUGUAAGGUUGCUAGUAUAAAAAUCGGUUUAGUUGGAACACGUUUUAUCUUCCGCAGCUAAAUAUCAGAUAUAACUAUUUUAAAAGAAUGAAGCCUUCUUGCAGUUUUCCAGUAUUUUGAAAUAAUACUUCAUAUAAAUAAUUGUGAUACCUGAUUGUAGGCCAACAUGCUGCGUGAAUGGUGUAUCUUAAUAAACCUGCAGCACAGACUGUCGCAGUGUAGGGAGAAAAGUUGUAAGAUACUCAGAUUGAAGCUUUUGUGUCGUUGAGGCUACCUACGAAAUUUCUGCUCCGAGCUAAUGCAUUAGGAAUGCUAAAAUCGCGUAUGUUAUAGUAUUGGCAAGGGAAUAAAUUCAACAAUAGUUUAAUAAAUUGAAGCACCCUCCCCGCCCCCCUCAAAUACGUGGUAAGACGGAUCUGUUGCAUAUCUCGUGGUGUUUGUUACAUAAUUUGCAAUGAAAUACUCGUCGGCGACAUCUCUGUUAGCUAAGUGUGUUAGAAAAUUUACCGAACUAGUUUGCUUAAUGUCGCUAAAUGGGCUAGCAAGUGAACACCAAGCUGCUAGCUAUUCUAUAGGUCAGUUUGUUACUGCAACAUUUAUUUGAUGUUUACAUUCCUUGCUUCGCCAACUUAAUCUAAGUAAUGGCUUCGCCAGCUUUAACUAAGUAAUGCUUCUCUUCUUCCUUCUUUUUAAUUAAACACAUUCUUAGUGCUCAGUGUUUCAUACUUUUUUUUCCAGGAGUCUUAUUUAACAAAGACGGACAGCUUUGGUAAAUGGAUGCAAAAGUUUUGGACAUGUUUUAAAUAGUUCCCACUACGUUGUGUCAGUCAAUAGCAGACGUACGUCCUUCAAUGUUGGGAUGUUAGUUCAGUAGUUUGGGUGGUACAAGGUGCCAACAGGCAGACUGCAAGAGCGCUACCUUGGAAUCUAGGGCAUAGACUUCUUACUCAUUCCAUGAUUUUGAAACAUUUGUUACCUAAAUAAUUCGUUAAAGUGGUGGGUUUAGCAUUGCCAAGUACAAUGGGAAAUACAGUGGAUUUAGCACUCAUUGUGCACAUUAAUUUGGGUGUCUUGCUGCUCAGCCGUGCGUGAUUAGCCGAGCGGUCUAAGACGCUGCAGUCAUGGUCGGUGCGGCUGGUCCUGGUGGACGUUUGAGUCCUCCCUCGGGCGUGGGUGUGAGUGUUUGUCCUUAGGAUGAUUCAGGUUAAGUAAUGUGUAAGCUUAGGGACUGAUGACCUUAGCAGUUAAGUCCCAUAAGAUUUCACACACAUUUGAUUUUUUGUUCUUAUGGGAAAUUCUGCUGCUGCUUUAGUGCUGUGGUAGUUUUGGUGUUCCACUGAAUCAAGGAGGGUGUAAACCUUCACAGAAUGUGGUAGAAAUAGGUUCAAAUCUCUAUUUUGUUCUCUCAUACAGCUGCUGCACAACAUACUCAUGGUAGUUUGUCUUUGGUCCAAGGAAGAAGAAUGCCUGUGGUGGAUUGCUGGAGCUACAUACAAUUUUAUAUUGGUGAGAAAUUGUAAAUCUUUAAGAAAGGGAUGUAAUAUUUAGGUCUGUUCAUCUAGGGUUCAUCAGUGGACACAAGUGAAACAGUUGAAGAGAAAAUCUGUUCCCUGCGGUAGAAAGGAGAGCAAAUGGAAAGUUACAAGGUGAAAAAGAUAUGUAGAAGCUGGCACCUUCUCGAUCCCUGUGACAUGAAACUAUAUGCAACAUAAUCUGAGCUAUAAAUUUAUCUGUGAAGUUGGUAUGGCUGCAUAACAUGUUAAGCUGGGAAGCCAAAGAUGAUAUUGUUUUAGUCAUAGUGUAUUAGUUCUGCGGGCCAAUUUAAAAGUAACCUUAUAAGUUGUGUUGUAUAUCAAACAAAAAUUUUUGGGAGUAAAAUUUGCCUUAAAUUCUAAUAAAGGAUCCGCACUUCGGAGCAGAUUUCACAAAGAAACUAAUGGAAAACAAGAGCAAGGUUUCUGUGAAAAUUAGGAAUUCAUCCUGUCUCUGCUUUGAAAGACUUGAGAGACAAGACUUGUAGCUUAACUGUUCAAUGAAAAAUGUUACUGUAGCUAAGAAUCUCAAACUUGAUCAUCUUCAUCACAAAUUUUGACACACACAUGACUUAUGGGGCUGCUAAAGGUCACUACUACAUACCGAAAGCUAAGAAUUUGUGAAAUUACCGCUAACAUACAUAGGAUUCUACAUAUGAAAUUUGAACAGAAUCAGUGAUGAUUGAUUGGGUGGGGAUUGCAUGGUAUCGCGUAGUGUGUGUGUGUGUGUCUCCUAUUUGAAAGAGACAUAUUUUUCAACAGUCGUAUAUAUCAACCUCCAUAAAGUGCUUGCAGCCAAUGAAAAUUAAUCUCUUGAUUUGAGUAACAGAUGACCAUUCAUGAUGCGCUUUCCUCAAGAUUGCAUCAUUGCUUAUACAAUGGCAAUAGACUAUUGAAGAUGAACCAGAUGUCCUAUCAUUGGCAACAUAUUGAAACAGUUGGAAAUGUCAAAAAUGUUGCUAACUCUGUAUGAUCUUCCUUCAGACUUGAUGCAUGUUGCAGCUGUCAUCACUUGAAUUGUUUGUAUGAAGUUUGAAGAAAUACCAACACAUUCCUAUUAGAGGUAGCCUUUUCUUUCAGUCUUUCUCAGGGUAAACAUCCAAUUUGAUGGAGAAAAAGACACAUUUCAGACUGUACUUUUCACUUUUACUAGUCAACUUAACAGUGAACCAUCUAAUGAUGUGGCUUUAAUGUAGGCAUAUUCACAAACUAUGUAAGUUGAGUAGUGUCAUGAUGUGCAACACUCGGAGCAUGCAUUUUAGCUCUCUGUUGUAACUCUUGUGUUCAAUGAAAAUUGUGUGCAUUUUUGAGGUUCACUUGCUUAUAACAAACCCUGCCCAACUGAAAUCUUGGGACUGGUGAAAGCCGAUAUUUAGUGCAGCCUAGGUCUAGGUUCAAUUGAAAGGUGAUGAUUUGGUUGAGAGCCAGCAAAGCUAAUGAAUAUGAAAGACAAAUAAUGGCAAGGGGAGAUUCAACAUUUAACUUUUUCCCCUGUGUAUGCAAUAAAUAUGUUUAAUGUGAAUGAUAACAAAAGCAAAGACACUAUCUUACUUUGGAUGUAGAGUUGUAGACAGGAACGCUGUAGAAGUAACUGCAGGCAUGCCCCAGAUAGGUGGAUUGAUACACUUCUUAUUCAUAUUCUAUAUUACUGUAUCCUGGCAGACAGUGUUGAUUGUAAUCUCAGGCUUUUUACAGGUGAUCGUGUUGGUUUUAGUGAAGUGCAGCGUGAAAAAAGAUGUGAUAAGAUUACAAAAUUGUUCUAAGAUUGGCAAAUAGUUUCAAAUGUUCAUAAUCGUGAAAUUGUUCAAUUCAUAAAAUGCAAACAAGAAAUAUCCUUCGAUUACAUCAAGAUACAAAUUUGGAAUAUCCACUUAGGCUCAGUUGUAAGUGAGCCAGUUCAGUUCAUUGGUGGGACACAGUGCAGAUGGGCUGCAAAGGAGACUAUUUACAAAUCACUUGUGCAUCCCACUAUAGAAUAUUGUUAAAGUGUGUGGGAAGCAUACUGAGCAGGAAUAACAGGAGACGUUGAAUGUGUAAAUGUAUAAAAAGCAAGGUGGUACAGAUGGUCACAGGUUUGUUUCACUCGGGAGGCUGUCUGAGAAAUGUUGACCUGAAGUGUGCGAUCAUAAAUCAGUGCAUGAGAUGUCAAGACAACUGAACUUUCCAUGUGCCACCAUUCAGAAACUACUUUGAACAAUUGUGAAAUGGUAUCUACACAAAACAAACUUCACAUUACCCACCAACUUCUGCUACACGACACUGACAUUAGAGUAAAAGUUGAUUUUAUGUUUCUUGCAGGGAUUGAAGAUGACAAUGGAAUGUUUUGUGGAGUGAUGCGCACUUUAUGCUCUCUGAACAAUCAUAGUUAUCGCGUUUGGGGAUCGUCGCUUCCAACGAACAUUCAUGAAAUUUACCUCCAUAGUGCAUGUGUCACUGUGUGCUGUGGCUUCACACAACAGUUUUUUGAAGAACUUGGACCCCAAGGAACAAGCAGCAUGAACAGCACACAUUAUUGUGAUAUGCCUCGCCAACAUGUGAUCCCUGCUCAAGGGAAGAGAGGUGCUGUGGACUAGACUGGUUGGAUACAUGAUGGAGUUCCACCUCGCAUUUCUUGCAAGGUCGCUCGGUCACUCCAUAUUUGGAGAAAAUCAAAUCAUUGGCUAAUCAUUCCAAACUUCAUGGCUGUCAAGAUCACCAGAUUUGAACCUGUGUGAUUUGUGGUUGCAGGACAGGGUUUAUCAAUGGAAUACUUCAGUAUCGGAUCUUCCACCAGAGAUGCCCUUAUAAUCAAUAAAGGCAAACCCAGUAGACGAAUGGCCAUGAUAACUGUAUUCAAACAUGUAAAGCAUCUUGGUGAUUGGAGGGCAAAAUCACAGGAAGAAUGACUGCAUUUACAUAGUUAAACAAGGCAAAACCAAUGGAAGAAUGGCCACGAUGAUAGUGAAUUCAAACAUGUUGUGCAUCUUACUAAUUGGAGGCAAAAUGAGUUGCGAUACACAUGGCCGUGACAGCUAUAGGCGAACAUGUAGAUCAUUGUACUUAUCACAAGACAGAACUAUGGACAAAUUGUAGUUGUUGUUCAACUGAACAAAGGAAAACCUGUGGACAAAUGGACAUAAUGACUAAAUUCAUACAUUAUCUGAUCUGUUGGACCACAAGACAUAAUUGUGAUGAAUGUGUGAUUAAAAAAAAAGUUACUGAUGUGCCCUUAUCAUCAGUAUGUAAUUGCACAAACGUUUAUGAAGAUUACAUCAAGAAAAGAGCCUGAAGUGAAUGUGCAAAAUGAUAAUGGAAAAAUAUAUGGUCCAGUCACAUUAAGGUGGCCGCUGCCUAUGUUUAGCAUCAAUGUGCAAGAACCACUCAGAUGGCAGGUGGCAGCACUAGCAGAGGAAGAUAGACAAAGCAUGUCAGAGGCACGCGGAAAACAGUGCAGUAUUUUCAUAAUGCGAAAACGGAGCAAUGUAUCUGACAUACAAAGAGGCAUGAUAAAUGACUUUCUGACCAAGGAUGGAAGCAUUUCUGAAACGGCUAAGUUCGUAAACUGUUUGAAAGUCACUGCUGUUAAUGUAUACCAGCACUGUAAGUAUGGUGUUCCACGGGCCUUAGAUGGCAGGGGUGAAUGACAGUUGUAGGGAUGUGUGUGGACAAAUAGGUGUGCAGCUAUUGAGCAACUGACUGGCCAGAUGAACUAAGGCUAGCUAACAUUGCAUUAUCAAUGAAUUUUCAGUGAAUGUUGCUGCAUAUGAACCUCUGUAGCAGGUGUCUCACACAUACUGACCGCUGUUCAUCGGGAUAAAGGCUGGAAUUUGCACUACAGUACCACACCUGGGCAUGCACUGAUUGGUGCCAGGUGGUUUUUUUUUUUCAGAUAGGUCUGAACAGCACAUAACUUGUGAGAAUAAGUAAGGAGGGAGCAUUAUGGUUUGGGUAAUGUUUUCGUUGUAUUUCCAGACUGAUCUCAUCAUUCUGGAAGGCACAGUAGAUCAACACAAGGGUUUAUAUAUCCUUGUGGACAGUGUCCAGCCCUACAUGCAGUUUUUCUUUGGCCACGAUGACGUCUUCCAGCAGGACAUUGCAGCAUGGCACACAGUGUGUACGUGUGUAGUUCUAAGAGCACCAGGAUGAGUUUACAAUACUACUCUGGCCACCAAACUCCUCAUAUUCGGUUGGAUCACCUCGGUUGGGUUGUACACACCAUCGAUCCUCAAUUGAGACUGUAGUGCAGCUGGCCACGGCACUAGAGUCGGCAAGGCUCCACAUCUGUAUCAAUAGCUUCCAGAACCUCAUUGACUGUCUUUCUGCCUGUCUCACAGCAAUCCUCACUACAGAAGGUGCUUAUUUAGACUUUUGACUUGUGGUCACAUUGAUGUAACUGGACUUUGAAUAUUUGACAUUUAUCUAUGGUGGAGGAAAACACAGGGUCGAGAAAAAUAUAUAUUCUUAUAUUUUGUAUACAGUGACACUUCAAUUUACAAACCAUAAUAAAUAUUUCAUUUGUUGGUUUUA